GGACCCGCACAAGCAGUGGAGCAUGUGGUUUAAUUCGAAGCAACGCGCAGAACCUUACCAGCCUUUGACAUCCUGGUCGCGGUUUGAGGAGACUCUUACCUUCAGUUCGGCUGGACCAGUGACAGGUGCUGCAUGGCUGUCGUCAGCUCGUGUCGUGAGAUGUUGGGUUAAGUCCCGCAACGAGCGCAACCCUCGUCCUUAGUUGCUACCAUUUAGUUGGGCACUUUAAGGAAACUGCCGGUGAUAAGCCGGAGGAAGGUGGGGAUGACGUCAAGUCCUCAUGGCCCUUACAGGCUGGGCUACACACGUGCUACAAUGGCGAUGACAGUGGGCAGCGACCCCGCAAGGGUGAGCU
rnacentral:rRNA from 1 species